CACGCUCUGCCGUUCCUCCACACGCAAAUCGCAGCUCAAUGGCUCCACCUUCUCCGUCGCCACCCUUCUCUAGUUCUAUAUUUGUCAGCCCCACCGUUUGAUUAUCUCUUCAGCCCUUAAGUAUACUCAUCCAAAACCUUCUUCUCUCUCCUCAGAAACCCUCUUUCUCUCCAAAAAUCAAAACCUUCUCCUUCCCCCAAAAUCAAAAUCCAAAACUUAGGAUGAGAAAGAAGGAAGAGCCGAUCAGAUACGUUGGGAAAGGAUUGACCCAUCGUCUUUACCUCUCAGAGCUCACCUUACUCUCCAUCUGAUAAACCAAGGAGAGGAACCUGGUACAAUGAUGAAGAAGCCAGAAUUCUUGACGAUCUGCAAGGCUGACCAGCGGUCGCACUUCAAAUCCAAGGUUUAGAGGAAAAGAUGAGACUCAAAUAGGAAGAACAGAUCAUCCUACACCAUGAAAAAAAUGAGAAGGCAGUAAAAGGAAAAGAGGUAAAAGUCUAUGUUACAAAAAAUAUAUAACGAAAGCAGUUGAUAAUGAAGAAAUUAGCUUGAUGAAACAAAACAACUUUACAUCAGUGGGAUUUGGGUCUGAAUUUGAUGUGGUAGCUGUUCCUAAUUGGUAGAUUCUCAUUUUCUCCUUUUUCUUUAUCUUUAAUCUCCCAAAUGUGCAUACUCUG